rnacentral:rRNA from 1 species
GACGAACGCUGGCGGCGUGCCUAACACAUGCAAGUCGAACGGGGGUAGCAAUACCUCAGUGGCGAACGGGUGCGUAACACGUGAAGAAUUUGUCUAACGGCGGGGGAUAGCCGGCCCAACGGCCGGGUAAUACCGCGUACGACCUCUGGAGGGCAUCCUCUGGUGGUGAAAGCCGCAAGGCGCCGAUAGAGAACUUCGCGGCCUAUCAGCUAGUUGGCGGGGUAAUGGCCCACCAAGGCGACGACGGGUAGCUGGUCCGAGAGGAUGACCAGCCACAUUGGGACUGAGACACGGCCCAGACUCCUACGGGAGGCAGCAGUGGGGAAUAUUGCGCAAUGGGCGAAAGCCUGACGCAGCGACGCCGCGUGUGGGAUGACGGCC